rnacentral:rRNA from 1 species
ACUCAAAUGAAUUGACGGGGGCCCGCACAAGCGGCGGAGCAUGUUGCUUAAUUCGACGCAACGCGAAGAACCUUACCAAGGUUUGACAUCACCCAUGUGCCUGCAGAGAUGUGGGGUCCUUUUGGGUGGGUGACAGGUGGUGCAUGGCUGUCGUCAGCUCGUGUCGUGAGAUGUUGGGUUAAGUCCCGCAACGAGCGCAACCCUUGUUCCAUGUUGCCAGCACGCUUCUGCUCUCUUUUGGGGGUGGGGGUGGUGGGGACUCAUGGGAGACUGCCGGGGUCAACUCGGAGGAAGGUGGGGAUGACGUCAAGUCAUCAUGCCCCUUAAGUCUUGGGCUGCAAACAUGCUACAAUGGCCGGUACAGUGGGCUGCGAUGCCGUGAGGUGGAGCGAAUCCCUAAAAGCCGGUCUCAGUUCGGAUCGAAGUCUGCAACUCGACUUCGUGAAGUCGGAGUCGCUAGUAAUCGCAGAUCAGCAUUGCUGCGGUGAAUACGUUCCCGGGCCUUGUACACACCGCCCGU